CCUACGGGAGGCAGCAGUGAGGAAUAUUGGUCAAUGGGAGAGAUCCUGAACCAGCCAAGCCGCGUGAGGGAAGACGGCCCUAUGGGUUGUAAACCUCUUUUGUCGGAGAACAAAACCCGGGACGAGUCCCGGACUGCGUGUAUCCGAAGAAAAAGCAUCGGCUAACUCCGUGACAGCAGCCGCGGUAAUACGGAGGAUGCGAGCGUUAUCCGGAUUUAUUGGGUGUAAAGGGUGCGUAGGCGGUCUGUUAAGUCAGUGGUAAAAUUGCGGGGCUCAACCCCGUCGAGCCGUUGAAACUGGCAGACUUGAGUUGGCGAGAAGUACGCGGAAUGCGCGGUGUAGCGGUGAAAUGCAUAGAGAUCGCGCAGAACUCCGAUUGCGAAGGCAGCGUACCGGCGCCAGACUGACGCUGAGGCACGAAAGCGUGGGGAGCGAACAGGAUUAGAUACCCCAGUAGUC
rnacentral:rRNA from 1 species